AGUUAGUAUGGUUACUUGAAAAAUGUCUUGUGUUUUUAUAUGUCACAUAAUUUUCUUCCUUUAAAUAAUAUAUUUCAUAUGAGGUGAAGAUUUAAAACCAAAAUAACCUAAACCUUUGAAUAUGUCUGUAGCAUUUAAAAUGACACAAAUAAUGCUGUUUUUUUACUUAUACUUGUGGAAGUCAGCAGAUUGUCCCUAUCAUUAAACAUAUUGCAAGCUACUAGUGCUAGAUAGAGCUGCUUUACCGCAAGGUAUCUUACUUAUCUUAUUUGAGUAUAAAUAGCAGUAUUUGCUCUCUUUGCAAAGCUAUCAAAGAUACUAACAAUUUAACUGAGAUAGCAAGCAGUAUUACAGCAGGAUGUAAAGGCCUGGCCAAAAGUUGACUGAUUUCACCAUUUCAAGGAGUAAUCUGGAUAGCCAAGUCAUUGUGAUUGGGUUGGACUGGCAAAGCCCACGGUGGUGUAGUUUGUUCUAAUGACAACUAAUGGACUUAAUGCUAUUGCUGUCAGCCCAGAUCUUUCCAUGCACUUACUUAUCCUAUGUGUUCUGCAGGCUUUCUGCUUGAUUUUGUUCCACAUGAAUUUAUACUCAUUCUCUAGACUUCCUGCUGUGUCAGUACUCCCUACCUAUGCUAAGGUCAAUUUAAAUUAACACUGUUAGUAUUCAAAAUACUCUGGGUUAUUUGUAUUAUUAGAAUUUAGUGAAAUUUGAAUAAAUAUCUGCUCCUAUGUCUGUGUCUGAAUUUGUUUAUAUUUCAUUUGACCAAUGAAUGGUGGGUGAGAUAAACCUCUGCCUAACUUCAGGUGCAGAUGAGUUAGGUUUUGGGACACAUAUGUUAAAAUGGGAUUUAUUUUCUCUAGAUAUGCCCAUCUCUGUUCAGCUGAUAGUAGGAGGAGCCUAGAUACAGACUUUAUGCUUCAAGUCAAAAGUUGAGAUGGAUAGAAUUAGGUGAGAUAAAGCCUGCCCUAAAUAUUAUUUCCCUGGAGCUUUAUUGGCAGUCUAGCAGAUGGCUUGAAGGUAGAGAAGCUCUUACUUAAUCCGUUGUUUGUGUCUGAGGAAUUCUGUGAUUCUGGAGAGUUUGGAAUCAUUUUAGUGUCACUGAACUUGGAAGAAUAAUUAACUCUUCUCAUCUAUCAUUUUAGCAUUUCUUUUUUAUAAAUAUAUAUUCAUGUGUUUAAUUGGUUUCAGUAAGCUAAUUACACAAGCACAGUGUGGCAAGGGAUCAGUGUUGGUGAUUAUUGUUAUCUUUUAUUUUUGCAUAAGCAGGUCAGGUUAGUGUGAGUCUCAAGUCUAAUGAAGGAAAAAUUUGGCUAAUUUCCUUGUGUAAGUAGAUUUAGUUGAUUUUCAAAAACUAAAUUCAUUGAUGAGCUUGGUCCUAGGUCCCCCAAAAAUUAAGAAAAUAAUACAGUGAAAUGUUAUUUGGUGCUUUAGAUAAUGUGAGAGACAUACAUUUAUCAUUGCUUACAGGAGAAAAAAAAAUAAAUCUUUGUCAGUUGUUUAUGUAACGAAGCACAUUUUACUAAAUUAAAGCACAGACCUUGCUUUCAAGCAUGGCCUGCUUUGUGGAGGGUUUUAGAAUUGGAUGUUAAGCGAGGCAGCCUGGCUUUUGAUUGAUGGCUAAGCAGGUUCCCUUUGUUUCUGUUGGCAGGGGAAAUUUGGAACUUGUUACAUCUUUUGACCAUGGUUCAGAGCCAUCCAAGGUAGUAAUUUCAGUCCUGCAAUAUGGCACAGAAAUGAAAGGGUAGCAGAGCUUUUCAUACUCUAUAUUGUGGUGGUACCAGAUGUUCAGACAUAAAUUUUCUUUCUUGUUUCAGUUCAGUCCAGAGGAUUGUAUGAAAAUGAGCUCUUUAUCCAUGCUAUUCUUGAAGAUUUUGAGGUUCAGCUGCUAGAGUUGGGUUCAUGUUUUUUGCAUUGAUUUCAGCAAAAAAUAAUCCAUUUUGCUUUAUCUCAGAUAAUUUCCCCACUUUGUCUCUAAACAGCAGCUUACUGAAUUUGCUGUGGUGUCAGACAGAGGUGUAUGUUUUCAUUUAUCAGACAUUGUUUCAGUUUAGUGCAUUAACCACCAUUUUUCUGUAAAAGAUAAAUACAGGGUCAGUCUGGGAAUUCAGUAAGAUUUUUGUCUCCCCAUUCUGAGGCUGACACUGUAUGUGUGUUUUUGAAUGAUUUCCAGUGAUUGAAUCCACCUAGACCUACUGCUUAUUGUCACCACAAACAGCUUAAAGCACUGUAGGACAGCCCGGAGAUGAUGUAUUGCUUGUGAUUGUCCUUUCAUACCAUCUUGCAUAAUGUUUAAAAAAAUGAGACCAAGGUUAUCUAGCCUGUUCUGAUGAAACCAGGAGACCUCUCAAUACCAAAAGACUUCAGUUAAUACCCUGAAACAGCUAUGGGCUCUCAAAAUCACAAUGUCGUUGUUAAAAGUUGGGACUGUCUCAUGAAAUCUGGAUGGGAUGAUGUUAAUAGUAAUACAGAGAUUGUUUUGGUAAUAUGCGUAUUUAUUGAUGAAGAAUUAAAGCUGUACUAAUUUUUAACUUUGAAAUAUCCAUUUUUUUAAUGGGUCUUUAUUUUCAAUCUUGUAAUAUUGUGCCAGCAUAAUUUUUUGGCAAUGAAUAUGAAAAUAUAUUGUUAAUGAUACUGAGUUUGGCCACAGAUGCUAAAUAAUAAUUAUGAUGAAGUGUUUAACUGAAUCCUUGUCUAAAAUUUUUUAAUAAGUUUUUUUUUUAAUGAAGAAAAGCCCUUGCCUGUGAGUUUCUAGGUGUGCAUGGUUACUGCUGUAGAAAUUGCGAGGCUCUUCUGCCGUCUAUGCUGUGAUGUCAUGCUAUAUCCUGUGUGUAAGGAUACAUUAAUAAACAUAAUUCAGUCAAAAAUGGCAUGUAUCUAAGAGGCAGGGAAUUCUUGUGCCUUUUAUAAAGAUUGGGAAAAUUAAAGUUUCAGAUUGAGAGUUUUGAUUCUUAAAACUUCCAUUCCGCAGCUACCUGCAUGUAUGUUGCUUUUAGACUGAAGAUCCUUUACGUACCUAAAAUUCUGCUUUUGGACAGGCUCUCUACUACCAUAGUUUUCAUGGUGCUGCAUAGCUUGGCGUCUGUUAAAUACAUAGAAAAUCUUUUAUGCUCCAUUACAUAGAUGUUCUUCAAUUUGUGUUAGCUGAGAUGUGAGCUCUGGUAAACAUGCUGUGAGCGCAACUUGUGAGGCUUCACACGAACUUCCUAUGAUCCAUUGUUUCAGACAGAGGAUGUGGAUGGGAGUUUCAACGCACAUGUCCUUUCUCUGGGAAACAUUCAGUAACUGUAAAUUUGUAGAUUGCCUGAAGCUACAGGCAUUACCAGCUUUUCUUUUUAAAAUUCAUCUCAGUAUGAAGUAAUUAAGAAAUUGGGAGAAUGAGAGAGAAAAUGUUAUUGUGACUUAGUGGUUAGAUUAGAUAUGUGAAGUAGGGGAAACCUGGGUUUUAAUUUCUAUGCCAUUUAGAAUUUCUGUGUUUUUAUGAAAUGAGUAUUUGAUAUUAAGCAUCUUGAAGUAGAGUUCCAUUUUGUAAGGACAUUGUUCCUUCUCUGAAACGAGGGAUUUGUUCUUUUCUUUAAAAUGAACAAAGUGUGGUCUACCUCACUCUGAGAUGACUGAAGACUAUGAAUCCUAACUGGAAGGAGGUAUCUUUUCAAAUCUCGGGGACGAGAUUUCUGUGUUGAAAAAAAGGGCUGUGAUUGGAUUAACCUGGACAUAUGGCAGCUUUACCUCAGAUUAUUGAGCUUCUCUGUGAUGAAAUACAAAAUAAAGUGCAAGUAUUAAGAGUUCCUUGUUUUAAA